rnacentral:lncRNA from 1 species
AAUUUCACCUCCAAGAUGAAUGCACAAGUUAUAAGGGUAAAUUCUUCCUUUUGCAUUAUUAAUUCAUUGACGAGGAUAUAGAAUUUUUUUACAUUUCUGUUUCUGUAUUAAUUGCUCUUAUGCCAGGAGACGGAGACUAUAGAUGGACAAGGAAAUGUGGAUUGCCGGUCAUCGGCGGCAGGGCAAUGCCAAGAGAUUAGGAAUGUACAGGUGACUCACCAGCCACAUCCCAAGGAAAAUUCGAAAACAAGUGGCGGUGUUUUGUCUAAUGCUGCUGCUUCUAUUGCAUCUACCCUUGAGUCUGCCAGGGAUGCCAUCAUCAGAAAUUGAAACCUCACUUGUUUAACUGAACAUUUUUCAGUUCUAUGCCUAUUAUAGCA